UCUGGGCUAAAAAAGGUAAUACUUAAAAAGGAAACCUAUUCCCUUUGGCGGCCUUAUUUCUCAUUGAAGGAACUUGUCUAUUAAUCGAAAUUACCCGAUCGUUUUUACUCCUUUUUAGUUUUUAUACCGUCGUCUUAAGAAUAUUGUAAAAGAAAUUAUUCUCGACUGAAUAUUCAGUAAAGUCAGAUCAAGGUGAAGCGUAUACAGAAGAUAAGAUGAGUUAUUUAUAAGCAAUACUAAAGGACUGGCUAUAAAAAUAGUUCUCAAAUUAAGAUCCAACAGUACCCAAAAAUUAAAAUUUUUUAGGGAAGAAGUAAAGAAAGGUGU
rnacentral:rRNA from 1 species